GCGCGCUGCUUCCGGUCUGGCCGGGCCCGGGCCUGGGCCUGGACUUCCUGCGGCGGGGGCGGCCCUGAGCCGGAUCCUGUAGUCCUGGGCGCUGCAGUUCCGUAGGCGCUUCGCUCCGGAAAGGGCGUCCGUGAACUCCUCACCCUGACAGCUGGGCCGCGGCCGCCUUUACACACGCCCUCCCCGUACUGGUGCGCCGUCGGCUAGGAAAGCGAACCCGGAAGGCCCCGACGCCCCGCGUGCCCUCCCGGGAUGGCCGCGGGCACUGCUUCUGGCCGCGCCGCGUCCCGUGCGCCGCCCCGUCGAGCCGCUGCAGCCUGUCUUCUGAGCUGUUAGGACAGCUGGUGUCGGAGCUGCAGAGCCCUUCGGGGGCAGCCGGAGGGGCGUUUCCCGUGGUUGCGCCUAGCUGUAAAUAGCAGAGCUGUGUUAAAGCAGUUUUCGUCCCCACACCCUAUGAUGACAGCCUCUUAGGCAGCACAGCCCCAAAUCAGGCGUAUUCCGGGGAGUCAGACCCAGGUGAACCUUCUCAUCAAAUACCAGACGCUGGCGGUAAUCUGCUCAGCUGCAUGACUUCAUUAAAUUGGCAUGGACCCUGAACUCUCUGAACAAGACGACGAGAAGAAGUACACUUCUGUCUGUGUUGGCAGAGAAGAUGACAUUAGAAAGUUGGAAAGAAUGACAGCUGUUGUCCAUGACAGAGAAGUGGUCAUUUUCUACCACAAAGGGGAAUAUCAUGCUAUGGACAUUCGUUGCUACCAUUCUGGAGGACCCUUACACUUGGGAGAAAUUGAGGAUUUCAAUGGACAUUCAUGUAUAGUUUGUCCCUGGCAUAAAUACAAAAUCACUUUGGCAACAGGAGAAGGAUUGUACCAGUCUAUAAACCCUAAAGACCCAUCAGCAAGACCCAAGUGGUGUUCCAAGGGAGUAAAGCAAAGGAUUCACACCGUGACGGUGGAUAAUGGCAAUAUUUAUGUGACGCUUUCUAAGGAACCUUUUAAAUGUGACUCUGAUUUUUAUGCCACUGGAGAGUUCAAAGUAAUUCAGAGUUCUUCCUGAUAAAAAAUAUAUGGCAGCAAAAAAUAGGACCUGUGUUUGGUUCCCAGCAUCUUUGGUGGCUUCUGGAGUCUUGACACUCUCUUCUGGCCCAGUUCGGCUGAUUGGUCAAACACAGAAUGUAAAACCUGGAUCUUGUUGCUCUGCUUGUUGGCAGGAGGCUUGCGGUGAGCUGAAAGGUUGUCUGGCUUCUCCGGCAAUGACCUGUAAGGUUUUGCUUUGAUUUCACCUUCAGAAAACAUCGGCUCUGGAAGCACAGGCUCGGAAAAGGCUUUCCUAAAAUUGUCACUCUCUCUAUUCUGCCUUAUGGAUUCUUCUUCUUGAAAAAUGUUCUUUAUCUUCACCAGCACAGCAUUAACACAGACUGCCUGUAUCAAUAAAAAAAAAAAUGUUGAAAA